rnacentral:rRNA from 1 species
UUGCAGCCAUGUCACGCUGAAACACCGGUUCUCGUACGAUCAUUGAAGUUAAGCAACGUCUAACCUGGUCAAUACCUAGAUGGGUGACCGCCUGGGAAUACCAGGUGCUGUAA